rnacentral:sRNA from 1 species
GUCGCUGCACAUCAGCGAACGGGUUUGACGGCCCGAUUAACAAUAGGCGCACAGGCGCCCCCGUUACGAUUGCAGGCGCUUUUUUU